rnacentral:rRNA from 1 species
UGGGGAAUAUUGCGCAAUGGGGGGAACCCUGACGCAGCCAUGCCGCGUGAAUGAAGAAGGCCUUCGGGUUGUAAAGUUCUUUCGGUAUUGAGGAAGGUUGAUGUGUUAAUAGCACAUCAAAUUGACGUUAAAUACAGAAGAAGCACCGGCUAACUCCGUGCCAGCAGCCGCGGUAAUACGGAGGGUGCGAGCGUUAAUCGGAAUAACAGGGCGUAAAGGGCACGCAGGCGGUUAUUUAAGUGAGGUGUGAAAGCCCCGGGCUUAACCUGGGAAUUGCAUUUCAGACUGGGUAACUAGAGUACUUUAGGGAGGGAUAGAAUUCCACGUGUAGCGGUGAAAUGCGUAGAGAUGUGGAGGAAUACCGAAGGCGAAGGCAGCCCCUUGGGAAUGUACUGACGCUCAUGUGCGAAAGCGUGGGGAGCAAACAGGAUUAGAUACCCUGGUAGUCCACGCUGUAAACGCUGUCGAUUUGGGGGUUGGGGUUUAACUCUGGCGCCCGUAGCUAACGUGAUAAAUCGACCGCCUGGGGAGUACGGCCGCAAGGUUA